CUACGGGAGGCUCCAGUGAGGAAUAUUCCACAAUGGGGGAAACCCUGAUGGAGCGAUACCGCGUGCAGGAAGACGCUUUUCGGAGUGUAAACUGCUUUUAAUAGGGAAGAUUAUGACGGUACCUAUAGAAUAAGGACCGGCUAACUACGUGCCAGCAGCCGCGGUAAUACGUAGGGUCCAAGCGUUAUUCGGAAUUACUGGGCGUAAAGCGUACGUAGGCGGUUUUGUAAGUUGGAUGUGAAAUCCUGUGGCUCAACCACAUGGACUGUGUCCAAAACUACAAGACUAGAGCAUAGUAGAGGCAAGUGGAAUUUGCAGUGUAGGAGUGACAUCCGUAGAUAUUGCAAGGAACACCAAUGGCGAAGGCAGCUUGCUGGGCUAUUGCUGACGCUCAGGUACGAAAGCAUGGGGAGCGAACGGGAUUAGAUACCCGGGUAGUC
rnacentral:rRNA from 1 species